rnacentral:rRNA from 1 species
UACAGAGGGUGCGAGCGUUGUCCGGAAUCACUGGGAGUAAAGGGCGCGUAGGCGGCCUGAUAAGUAGGGGGUGAAAUCCUGUGGCUUAACUGCAGGGCUGCCUCCUAGACUGUUAGGCUCGAGCACGGUAGAGGCAGGUGGAAUUCCCGGUGUAGCGGUGGAAUGCGUAGAGAUCGGGAAGAACAUCGGUGGCGAAGGCGGUCUGCUGGGCCGUUGCUGACGCUGAGGCGCGACAGCGUGGGGAGCAAACAGG